UACAGAGGGGGCAAGCGUUGUUCGGAAUUACUGGGCGUAAAGAGCUCGUAGGCGGUUUGUCGCGUCGGCUGUGAAAACUCGGGGCUCAACCCCGAGCCUGCAGUCGAUACGGGCAAACUAGAGUGUGGUAGGGGAGACUGGAAUUCCUGGUGUAGCGGUGAAAUGCGCAGAUAUCAGGAGGAACACCGAUGGCGAAGGCAGUUCUCUGGGCCUGCACUGACGCUCAUGCACGAAAGCGUGGGGAGCAAACAGG
rnacentral:rRNA from 1 species